AAUAUGAGGUUUAUAUCAAUUAAUAUUGCUUGUAGCCUUAAUAUUUAAAGCUGAUAUCCUCAAACUGAAGCAAGUUAUCUUUUGACUACUAUUGAUUACAGCAAAGCAAUUUCCUUUUGUUUUGUAAAAGGAAAAAGAAAAAACAAACAGUCAUGAAUGUAGUACCUUCGGCCACAUUCUUUUAACAUGAGUAUUUUGUGGUUUAUGGAUUCCUAGUCUGAAAUGUUGUCUCCAAGUGUCCAAGACAAAAUAACUAUGUGUCCUAGUUGGAAGAAAAUUUGCCUUUUCCUUUGCAGCCAAGCUAAUUGUGCCAUGUCUAGCAAGCAUGGCCGUAUGUAGUAUCCAGUGCUGCCUUGCUAAUACACUUCAGUCCUGACCACAACCUUCUUGCUGUCAUUAGCUUGCACCCUGGCCACUGCCAAAUUGCAGGUACCCUUCCUUAGGGUGCAGUAACACAUCAAGGAACACCACUGUCAGGUUUUCACAGCAGCAAACGCAAAACACGAGUCUCACUUUCCUAUGCUUCUAUGUAGAAGUUACUGCUGGCAGCAAGCCGAACUAUCAGCAGUACAGCUAAGUCAAGCCAUUUAAAUUCUGCAAGAAUGAUUUUUCUAUCCUAUAACACUGUAUCAUAGCAAUACAUAGGCUGGCAGCAGUCUUAAAGAAAAGGAGGAGGUUCUUGUUAGGGGAAAAGGUAUGUUGUUUCAGUCCUGUUCUUACCUUUCUUAACUUGCAUUAAGGCAUUAGCAUUGUGAGAAAACUGAAAAGGGAGCUGUGACAAUGCCAACAAAUCAUGGAUCCAGCAACAGAGAAAACUCAUUGCCCUCCCUGGAUUUGAAGAGGAGACAGCUGAGUCAGAAUGGACUGAGCUCACAUUUCAUCAUCUUGACUCAAAGUUAUUCCUAAGGGCAAGAACUAGUCAGCUAUGUCACAGUCUCCUGGGAAGCUGUGGUAACCCCUUUGGCUUGAUGCAGACAAAGAAGGGAAAAAGCACACCACACUGAACAGCUCUGCACUGGCUGAUGGGG